rnacentral:rRNA from 1 species
GUCCACGCCCUAACGAUGUCAACUGGUUGUUGGGAGGGUUUCUUCUCAGUAACGAAGCUAACGCGUGAAGUUGACAGCCUGGGGAGUACGGCCGCAAGGUUGAAACUCAAAGGAAUUGACGGGGACCCGGCACAAGCGGUGGAUGAUGUGGUUUAAUUCGAUGCAACGCGAAAACCUUACCUACCCUUGACAUGUCUGGAAUCCUGAAGAGAUUUGGGAGUGCUCGAAAGAGAGCCAGAACACAGGUGCUGCAUGGCUGUCGU